CCCCUUGCGCCCCUCCCUGCCCGCGCCUAUAUCUGACCUUGUCCGGGGCAACCCGGACUAUGGUGAUAAACGCACCUGUAAUAAACGGCUCGGACCCGGGGGCGGUACCCGGCGGCUCCACCAUUCCACCCGGCGUUGCGGGGGUAAGGGGCCGAAAUAGGAUCGACGGACGUCUAAAGAGGCCAGCUUUUACCCGGUAGGCACCACCGUUAUCGGACCACAAGUACAGUUGCCAACGACAACCGUGCUCCGAUGGCUCUGGCUGCGUAAGCGGUCCGAACAUCGAAACCUAAGCCCUUGCGCUUAGCCGCGUAAGGCGGGGCCACCAGGAGCCUGGCAACAGAAUCCUGGAC
rnacentral:tmRNA from 1 species